rnacentral:rRNA from 1 species
UAACUAGGAUUAGAUACCCUAUUAUUUAAAAUGUAAUUUAAAACACUUAGGUAGUAAUAGUUAUGUUCUUGAAACUUAAAAAAUUUGGCGGUAUUUUAGUCUAUUCAGAGGAACCUGUCCUGUAAUUGAUAAUCCACGAUGAACCUUACUUAAAUUUGUAUUUCAGUUUAUAUACCGUCGUUAUUAGAAUAUUUUAUUAGAAUAAUAAUUUUCUGUAAUUUUAAUAAGAAUUUAUAUCAGAUCAAGGUGUAGCUUAUAUUUAAGUAGAGAUGGGUUACAAUAAAUUUAUUUAAACGAAUCUAAAUUUGAAAUAUAUUUAGUGAAGGUGGAUUUGAUAGUAAAAUUUUAUAGAUUGUAAAUUUGAUUAUAGCUCUAGAAUAUGCACACAUCGCCCGUCGCUCUUAUUAUUAAGGUAAGAUAAGUCGUAACAUA